NGACUGUCUAAUUAAACCAAAGCAAUGGUGAUGCAUCAUGAUAUGUUGAACACACUGUGAUUUCUGCCCCAGUGCUCUGAAUGUCAACGUUGAGGAAAUUCAAGCAAGCGCGUGUAAUCGGCGGGAGUACCUAUGACUCUCUUAAAGUAGCCCUAAUGCCUCGUCAUCUAAUCAGUGACGCGCCUGAAUGGAUUCACGA
rnacentral:ncRNA from 1 species